rnacentral:tRNA from 1 species
GGGUUAUUAGCUCAGCUGGCAGAGCACCUGACUCUUAAUCAGGGUGUCCGGGGUUCGAGCCCCCGAUGACCCACCA